UACGUAGGGUGCGAGCGUUAAUCGGAAUUACUGGGCGUAAAGCGUGCGCAGGUGGCGUCGCAAGUCAGGCGUGAAAUCCCCGGGCUCAACCUGGGAAUGGCACUUGAAACUACGAUGCUGGAGUGCGGCAGAGGGAGGUGGAAUUCCACGUGUAGCGGUGAAAUGCGUAGAUAUGUGGAGGAACACCGAUGGCGAAGGCAGCCUCCUGGGUCGACACUGACGCUCAUGCACGAAAGCGUGGGGAGCAAACAGG
rnacentral:rRNA from 1 species